rnacentral:lncRNA from 1 species
AGGGAAAUAUAGACACACGGAAACACACACACACACACACACACACACACACAUCUUUAUUCAGGUCCAGUAUGAACAUAUGUCCCCAGACCAUUUGAGGAUGCUGAUCUCCCAGCGAACUGAUUAGGCAAUAAAUCGCUAGGAUGUUAAACAUUCUGGCUGAACUAGACAUCUUUUGUGCAUGGAUGAAAAAAAAUCUUAACCGCGCCUAAUGACCAUAAACCAAAGACUCAUUAUAUGGCAUGGAUAGAACAUUCACUUUAGCGUCUAUUAAGUGCCGAUAAUUAUUUAGCUUCUGUGACUAAUAGGCAUGGAAAAUCUGAUUAAAUAUCUGAGGUCUAAGUACUGCCCCCAUGGUUCAUGGCAAAAACAAUUCCUGGACCAGCUUCGUAUACAUAAAAUAUAUAGAGAGAAUAGAAGGGAAAAAACCAUCUAUCUGCAUACAUUUUCAGCACCGUCAUUAUCGUACAUGCCAUAUCUAAAUGCCUGGUUUAAAUUAUUUGCGAGAGCUGCUACAUCAUAGUCCCUGUCAUGAACAUCUUCGUCAUCACUGUCCCUUACCCUAUCAUGCAGUGCAGUAGGCCGACUGUAAACAAAGUACAAAAAAAAAGAGGUAUUGAUACCAGUAGAUGAAAAACUUGCCAACAAAAAAGAUAUACACACGUGCUAAUAACAGACAUGCAUAUACAUAAGAAACACAAAAGUUGCUGAUUAUUAAUGCACACCAGACUUCCUGUUUCUGUUCAAAACCCUAUAAUAUAAUACAUUGACUUCUCAAUAAAAUUUGUUAAUAGUCUUAGUUAAUCUCUUAAACAUUUGUAGGUUGUUGAUUGUGAACAUAGCAUAAUUGAACAUUAUCACAAAUUCUGCAGAGAAAAAUAUAUAAAUAUUUUUAUUCUCAUUCUAAUAUAACUAGUGAAAGCCUAUAAUUCAACUCCCAUGCUAAUAAUAUGUAUAACCAACUUUCAUGGGUAGGAGAAACGGCUUAGGCUGACACACAAUGACAGGUGUUUCACUUUUUUCAAAAGUACAGAAUAAGGAAUAUAAUUAUAAACAUACAGUUUCCAGCCUGAUAAGUAUGUAACACUAAGAAACACAUGAUCAAUAUACAAGAAAACUCGAAAUUCUGAUACGAACUGUCUCAAGGUGCAACGGAAAAGAUAAGAAUCAAAAGCAUACUCAGUUUUUUCCAUCAAACAUAUAUGAUCUUCGAUUGACAAAUGCACAAAAAACACUGAUGAUUUUAAGGCAAACCUACAGCCAAAUCAAGUAAUGAAGCUGUGACUCUUAAAUAGCACAGGCACUAGAGGGUAGAGAAGAUUUAUUUCUUCAAAGGGUCUUCCUAAAGGUUUGCAGGGAGUAUUGCCAUCAUGCAAAUGUUUAAUCAUAAAUCCUUUAAAUAUAAGUCUUAUCCUACCAAUAGCUUUGAACCAACAUGAAGAGGUCUAGUACUCUCAACAGUUGCAAAAAAUUGGAUGAAGCAUCUAGAUAAACACAUGAACUGCAGAUGUUCCACAAGGUAACUCCUUUGUAGUUGGCCAGUCCUAACAAAUAAAAAUGAAGUUUCCGGCAUCUAUAUCCUUGUAAGAGUGAUAUGAAUCACUUCAAGAAAAUGGAAAAAAGCACAACUGAACUAAUGAAGAAUCCAUGUAAUAUAUAAUAAAAUAUAUUUUUAUACAUGUUUUAUAUGAUUUUAUUCCCAUAUUUAAUUGUAUUUUGCACCGAUUUGGAUUUUUAUUUAAUAUAUUUUCAUGUUUUAUUGUAGGGAAUAAAGAAUUCCUAAGUUGAGAAGGAUUUGAAGAACAAUAGCUAUUUUGGAGCUAAAUUCUAUGGAAAUUCGGAUUGAUUGGGCUAUACGCGAUUUCUACACUAUUUGGGCCAUAUCUUUUGUUCUAGAUGUCGGAUUUGGACGAUCUUACAGUCUACGCAAAGCUUACGAAAUUUUCUUUAAUUUAGAGACAGCCCAAGAAGCAAAAUCAAACCAGAAAAGCCCGUAAACUGAUGUGCAAAGAAAGCUUCGAAUUUUGAUAAGAAUCCUACUUGGUUUUGGAGUUUAUUUGUAAAUAUAUCUAAAAACAUUAAAAAUACUUUUAUUAUUAGAGAGAGGAUGAGAUUUUAUUAUCAUUGUAUACUCUUAGAUUAGAGAUAUAGUUAUGGUUAGAGAGAGACUCAUGGAGGAACCAUAGUUUUUCUUACAUUGACAAAUCUGAAAGUUAAAGGUUUUCUUCUCUUUUCUUGUCAGUUAAAUUAUAUAUUUUUAUUACCUUAGUUGUUUUAAUUGUUUAAAUAUUAGCGAGUAGUAGUUUCUAGGGCUUAAUGGGAAGUCAUGUUUGCACUGUAAUAUUGCCAUGAUUUCACAGUGAUUUGAUUCAUUGUGGUUAAUUCUAAUUAAUUAUGUUUAAUAUCAAUUUCAGUAAUCAGCCAAUAUCAUGAAUUACUUCUAUGUGAAUAGGAGUAUGAUAUAGCUAGUAAACUAUUUAGGCAAAUCGCAAUCAAUUAAUAAAUAAAUAAAUAAUUUUAGAAAGAACGGGCAAGACCCAUUCACUAUCCAUCCUUGUCUGAGUCCAUGUAUUACCAGUGUUAUAAUUACAUUUAUAGCCACAGAUAGUAUCAAAUAGACGCAUACCCGCAAGCCCAACGAUAUACAUUCUCGACCAUAUUACGCUCCUGCAAAGCUGAAGCCUGCCAAUCUUCCCAUUCGCUAUUUUCCUGUAUAGUUUCCAAAAACACUUGAUAAGAUCAAAGGUCCAAAUAAACACCUGGGCUGCUAAUCAGAUAAUCAAUAUGAAAUUUGCUUAAACCAGCAAAGUAUCUAAGAAGAUUAAAUUGCACAUUUGCGAAAAACACUGAUAGAGUAAGACAUACUCUGGUAGCAAAAUAAUGGUAAUUGUUAAGGACAAUUACUUCUUAAAUUUUUAUUUACUUGUAAGCAUAUAAAUAUAGCACCAAAAGCCAGUGUCAAUUCCUAGAUCCUAGAGGAGAGACCUUCUGGUCACGGUUUAUUUCAGAUAAUGCCAAAGCAACUGGUAACAUAUUGAAUGUCCGAUCCCCUUAAUUUGACCAGAGCUAUGCAACAAUGAGAUUCCUCUUGAAUGUUGAUACUGCCAGAUGUUAUUGAAGAUCCUUGGAUGAGAUCAGCUAGACAAUCAGGUUUUGCAAUUUUCUGUUGUUUCGAAGUCUUAAAAGUGAAUAUUCCCCUCUUUCAAAAAAAAAAAAAGUGAAUAUUCACCGAGUUAAAACAAUCUGCCUCCAUUGCGGUUUACGAAAUUUUGUUUCUAAAGUGCUAGAAGCAAAGUUGAUGUGGAAUCUAAUUGAUCAAUAAAAGCUGGAGGUCACUGGUCAGGCAGUAAGUUGGCGGAAGGAAUUACCAUGCUGGUAUAAGACUAUGUAACACAUGAUUUCUAAUCCUUGGCGAAUUCUCUUAACAACAAACAUGCAAAUAUGAUGCCUGAAUCAUCCAAUAAAAGUAAUGCCUGGCCGUAAAUUCAUGAGUAAUGAACAAUAUAGACUCGAGUCAGUCUCUUCAAUAUAGCAAUAUAUGUGUGAAAAUGAAAUACACUAUAUACCUGUAAGUGCUUCUGAAUCUGGCUAUCUGUGUUCCCCAACUGCACAAGCUUAUUGGCAAUGCGAGUAAUGUGUCCAAGGUUCCCAAUCCGUGGUGCCUGUCUUCCAGUAGAAGCUAAUGUUGGCUGUUAUAUAAAGGCAAAAAAAAAUAUUAUAUGUUAAUCAUUCCACAUUUAUAAGAACAACAAAUUCUCUAGAUACUCAGUCAUCAGAUGCCAUAAAAGGCACCAAAACAUCGUAAAUCCCUCAAAAGUGCUCAGAGUCUCUCCAACCCAUUUACACCAAAGGUUACGUCAGAAGGACUCUUUUUUGUACAAUAUAGGUUGUUUUAUUGUUAAAGUGAAAUUAAUAAAAAUUGUUGGACAUUAAUGGAAAUGAAAUUGUUUGAGGUAAGUAGUAUAAGGGUAGUGUUAAUAUUUAUAAAGCUCUAAGUUGGUGUGAUUUUUGGUGUGACACCAAAUUUGGUGGAACUUACAGAGUUUGGUUGGAGAUGAAUUUAAACCAAAUUUUAUGUAAAAGUACACUUUUGGAGUUUGGUUGGAGAUGGUUUUAGUUUCCACAACUUUAAUACUCAGAAUUCAAUUACAUUACCAAAAGUAAGGCUGCAAAACAGACUACUAAUAAAGAGCCAUAAACCAAUAUAGCGCAUGUACCUGGUUUGGUUCAUCUGAAACAAUGACACUUCUAUCUGCUUUGAGGAUUUGGGAAACCAAAUCACACUCUUGAAGAAGAUUGUCAAGAAUAGUUGUGUGUUUGCUUUCUAAGCAUGAAUAUAUGAUACUCUCUACUUGAUGAUGCAAGGCGUUGUUAAAGGGGUACCUGUAGGAAUAAGAGUGGAACUUAAACAAACAUACAUACAAUUUGUAUAUUAUUUUAUAGCAUUGUUCUUCUGUUUUUUAAGCAAAAACAGACCCACUUAUAUUCAUAGGCCAAUUUUAUGAACGAAGUAACAUCUUACUCAAAGAAGAGAUCAAUAACUCUUUUAAUUGUUCCUGACACGAUCAAUUCCUUCUCUGCAACUUCAUUUCCAGUCUUCAGUAGCAGAGCAAUAAACUCCACAAUCUAAGACCAGGUAACACACUGAUUACAGAUAAUAUCAUUGACAAAGAAAUAAGAUUGCGUAGUCUUAAUAUUUCCAGAAUCACAGCUGAAAGGUACUAAAUAUUUCAGCAUGUAUCACAUAGUUAAACACACACUGAAAAAGCAUACAUGUUUACAUGCUCCAAAACCACCAACAGGUUGUAAAUUGAAGAUAACAAACAUCCUCCAAAACCACUAACAAAGGUUAGAAAGACACACCACAAGCAGCCUGGUAAAAAUAAAAUACAUGUUUCUCAAAGAUUUUAAAAUAAAAAUGCAACACAAGAUAACAAAACACAUGAGAAACAAAAAAUGGAAGGCAAAGUAAAGAUUAGUGGACAAGUUACAGAACCUGACCUUUGGGCCAAAAAAAGGAACCAACUAACAAAAUUCAUAUAAGAAAUGAAUAGAUUUUUUAUUUUUUCAAUCGAAAGAAGACAUCAAGAAGGCAACCACGGAUUAGCUGUCACUUAAGAAAAGGUGACAAAGGGCAUUCCACCACUUCAAAACCAAGUUUCUUCCGCAUAAAUUACUUGCAUGGGGAUACACACAAUAUUUGUUCUUUUAUUGCACGUGUUUUAAUAUUUAAUUUUGUUUCAAUGAUAUCUAUGUCAAAAUUAAUAUGAGUCUUUUCAUUAAAAUAGUUUUUUAAAUUUAUUUAAAAAAAAAAUUUGGGUUAAUAUAAAUUAUUAUUGGGUAUAUUGAAUACUCCCUCCGUCCCACCAGGUUCUUUACGUUACUUUUUGGCACGCAUUUUAAUGCUCCUAAAAAGUAUACUUAUAUUAUAUAUUUAUUUUUUAAGAAAAUCUUGGAAAAAAGUUUGACGUUUAAACUUUUAUUCAGAAAAAGAAAAAUUAAAAAAAACAUUAUUGAACUAUACUUUAUAAGAGCCUCAAAAUGCGUGCAAACAGUGAACGUAAACAUCCUGGUGGGACGGAAGGAGUACGUUUCUAUAAUUAAGUCCGUCAAAAAAAUUAUAAAUAAAUAGGGCCGAGAGAUAUGUUUUAUUGAGAAUGUUGAAAUAUGUUUAAGUUGUAAUGAAAAAGACACAAUAAAACAUGUUAUAAAAUGAAGAGGCCCACAAACAGGACCAAAUACCGACAAACCAAAACUUUUAAUAUUUCGGCUCCAAUGGUAUAGUAUAAAAUUAGAAAGAUUAGACUCCAGUGUUUGAUUAUCUAUUGUUUUAAAAAAACAAAAAGCAAACUCUCAAAGCCAAAACUUAAAGUCAAAAAUUGGGAUUGCUUCAGUAUCAACUUUUCAAGUAUUUGAUGCUAUCUAAUCAUAUAUUUUAAAAUUAGCUUUUUAUGGUGACACAAGUCGUACCUAAGCAGCACAAACUCGGUAACUCCCCUUUCAGUGAAUUAAAAACUCAAGCUAUCAAUUUACACUGAGUCACAAAAACACUACCAACAUUAAAUUUCAAUCAAUAAUGGUUCCCCACCUUUAACCGAUACUUGCCGAGUGGAGGUCUUAGUUCACCAUAUGUAGUAGGCAAAACCUUUGCGUCGGAUGAUACAUUUAGUAGCUUCAACAAGUCACCUGAACGAAAUCAAACUAAUUAAAGUUCUUAAAUAGGAAGACAAGACUACACCAAAUUUAAUACAAAAUACCAAGCAUGAUCUGAUUUGCAUACAAAAUAAACAUAAAUUUACCAAGUUUCGGCAGCAUAGCGUCAACAGUUUCAGAGUUAACAUAUACAGGUGAUUCGUGCAUGCGUUGACUCCGGAAAGAAUGAAUAAAGGGAGAAGUUACUGAUCUUCUGGGAUCCAAUAAGGAGAUGCACACAGACAGUGAGUGGACAAGGCUCGAUUUUGACUGCGAGUCUUCCAGUGCAUGACUAAAUAUUCUGGAAACGGAACUGCAAAAAGAUAGCAUACAUUUAUAUCUGUAGCCCAGUAGGUGUUUGGUUUGAAAUCAGACGUAUAUAUUCUGGAUAAAAUAUAUAACACAGCUCAAACCUUGGGCUAGAGAGUUUAGUAGCCAAAGGCGAUGGUGCAUUCCGAGUAACAGUACACAAAGUUUCUGCUGCGUUAGCAUGCACUUCCGGAGGACUCUGGAUAAAUGAAAAAUCAGUCUGCUGCAUUUUUCAGAAAAUUGUGUAUUCUGAUGUCUUGGCACAAAUAGAAACAUCCUCACUAUGAUUAAAUCUUUUAUCAUGAAAAACAUAUUUAGAAUUUAGAUAUUGCAUGAAAAAAAUGUGCUCAAUAUACAGUUAAUACUCUUCUGAUAGAUGAUAAGAACACUGCUAUUUAAACUAAAGCAACCUAGUAGAGAAGAAAGAACAAAUACGUGCAAGUUUUAGUAACAUAUAAUGGUUAGACUCUUCAAAUCUAUGGGAUCCACAGAAGAGGUUCACUUCGUAUUCAAAACCAGCUACAAUGCUAUCCCCAAUCUCAAACAUACAUAAGGAUGUCUCCAACUUGAUAUAUUAACCAAACUGGAAGGGUACAGCAUGAAUAGAAGGUAUAAUUCACCAUUUUCUCAACAUUACUGACGUCCGUCAUUAACAGAGAUAGUAAAUGUAACAAUUAUAGAGUGGGAUGCAACAAUAGUAUGUCCUGUGAUUGACAAAUUUAUAAUGGAACUAGUUACUUACUGAUGGACUCAAUUUAUCAACAAUCAUCUCUAGCAAAUUGCUCUCAGCAAGCCAUUGCAUUACAUCCGAAGAAUUGGGAUACAUGUGAUCAUCACUGCCUACAAGUCGAACCAAAACCUGUGUAAAAGUUCAGCAAAAGGGAAAAGCAUCAAACAAAUGAAAGAAAGCAAGAAAAGCACCAUCUCAUAUUAAUAGUUGCAUGCAAAUUUAGACGCUCACCUCCAUGAUGGAUGUAAUACCUAUCAAAUCAACGAGUUGGCUAAAAACAUUCUGAUGUGACUGCAAAAGAACAAAGUGUGAGUGAAACAAAGUACUCGUACAACAAAAUGGAAAUUCAGUAACUACAUAAUUGAUAAUACAUUUUCCUGAUAUAUGAAAUAGGAAAUGCUAAAAGUAUAUGACACAAGUCAAUUCUACAACCUUAAAGCUUAAUAGUUCAGUAAUUGAUGUAGAACAAAUGAGAAUACUGUUACAUAAUAUAUUAUAUGACACAAGGAAACUAAAUUUACAUAAAAGAUAUCAUCAGAAUGUUUUCAUAGCUAUCAACAGGAAGCUGCAACUCUUCUCUACAAGAAAAAUUUACACGGUUAUAAAUUAACAAGAGUAUCAAACUCAACUUUAAUAGUCAAAAAGCAAAAUACAGCCAACAUAAUUGUGCUUCCCAGGCAGGAAGUAGCAUAUUUCGUGCUAAAAUCGAUGGGCCCAUUUGAUUCUAAUGUAAUAGCGCACUAAAAAUAAUUUUUCAUAGCAUUUCUUUCCUCAAACAUUUGCAAUCCAAUGUUAUGACUUUAAGGCUAAGCUUUAUAAUUGCAUAUAGUAGACAUUUCAGAUAAGUCUAAAAACAUUAUUAGUUUUUAUUCAACGACUUUGUCAAUUGAAGGCCUGAACACUGUGGAAUGAGAGACAAAGCUGGGCAUUUAUACAUAGGUGUUUUGGCAAAUUCAAAAAAUAAUUACAUUCUUCUAAAAAAGAAGUAAUAGAAAGCAUUGCUAGAUAUUUGCCUUCUUUGGCUCAUAAUUAAUACUACAAGGUAGACUGUUCUAUAAAUAGUUGUCAGAUUAAUAACUAAAUAUGAUGUGCAUUAUACAUAUAAGAAUUGAUCAUUAUGCAUAAAUUAUGUUAUGAUGCCAACAUAAUGUACUACUUUUUAGCAUGAGGCAAUUCCUCAAAACAACUAGAACAAUUUUAAACAAAGUUGAAUUUUUAAAGGGAAAUAGAUACAGAAAGCAGGAUAUGUGUGGAAACUCAAUCAUUGCAUAUGUAACUUAAAGAUUUUUCUUACUUGGACAUAAUUUAUUAGCGGGAUCGCCUUCCGCAACAUGAGACAAGUCACAACCUACAGCGCGGAAAGGACAAUGAAGAAAAUCACUAUGCUGAGAAAGGUGUACGGCCAAAAUUAACCAUAGUACAUUGCAGAAUAAAAAUAGAAACAUAGGUGNCAGCCGAAUANAUUCCUCAAAACAACUAGAACAAUUUUAAACAAAGUUGAAUUUUUAAAGGGAAAUAGAUACAGAAAGCAGGAUAUGUGUGGAAACUCAAUCAUUGCAUAUGUAACUUAAAGAUUUUUCUUACUUGGACAUAAUUUAUUAGCGGGAUCGCCUUCCGCAACAUGAGACAAGUCACAACCUACAGCGCGGAAAGGACAAUGAAGAAAAUCACUAUGCUGAGAAAGGUGUACGGCCAAAAUUAACCAUAGUACAUUGCAGAAUAAAAAUAGAAACAUAGGUGCCUAACCUUGCUAAAAUAUCCUGCCAGAAAGGCACUAUGAGGACGAGUCGGUUCCAAAAAUGAAAAGAGCAAAUCCAUUAGCUGCAAUUGUUUUAAAAAAAAUAAAUUAAUACAUAACGUAUAACGUCAUAGAAAUUAACUUCUUGAUAUUGGUGAGUAAAACAGAAUAUAAUAAUAAUGGAUACAUACCCCUUCUUCCUCCACUAAGGUUUUAAGAAUAACAUCGAUUUCACACGUGAAUACCUCACAGGAGAUGAAGGGAAACCUAGAAUGGAGACAAAAAUUGACCAAAAUAGAAAUUACUGUAAACUACUUAACCUAAAACACGGAGUAACACAUUUAUUUAAAUGGCCCAUUUUAUAGUAAAGCACAAUCACAUACUUCAAGCUACGUUUGCUUUCAGCAUCCUCUGGAGGCUCAUCGACAAUAUAGUGCAAGAGCUGUUCCACCUGAGCUCUCUCUCGAAGACUGAAAGAAAAGUGUUUUGAUGAGCAAGUACAACAUCAUCCGUGCGAUAUCAAACUUCGGAAGAUAUAAAGUGGGUAAUAUAUAGAUAAUUACAAAUUAAUAAGGCGGCUAUUCAAUGCUUUGCAUUCCUGGAUUAUCUCAUCCUCGUCAAGAAGCUCUUCCAAAGUAAAAUUUUCCUUAUCUAACACCGAGUCAACCUUCAAUAAUAUAGAAAAGCAUAUCCAUGAUCAAAACUCGAAAAGCAAGCCACGUGGUCUAAUAAGGAAACCGACACAUAAACAAAAAACACAAACAGAUACAAAUAAAACAAGUUAUUAGAUACGAUUUUCCUCCGUGGCAGAUACGAUCAAAACAAGCACAUAUAUAACUAAGAAACAAACGAGCUGAAAACAAGUGCUCAUAGUCAUUCUGACUCAAUUCAAGUAACACAACUCCUACUGAAGCUUUUACGAUGGCUACAUGUGAAAUUUAACGAAUUCUGUUGCCAAGCAAAAUCACAAACAUGCCGAAUUCGAUGAAUUAAAGUCAUAAGCUAACAGAAACAUGAUAUACAAGUGAAAUCAAAGCUUUAAGCUUACGGGCGAAGCAGAGAGAGUGAGUUUCCAAAACAUCUUUAAUCAUAUACGACCAGCUCAGCUAGGUUGGAUCUGCGAUUCCUAUAUUGAAGAACUAGGUCAAUACAAUAGCAUCAAUAGCUUGAGAUGAAGCUAAUUUUGAGGAUAAAUUCAAUUACAAACCCUAUUUUGAAGAAGAUCGAAAAAAUCGAAGUUCUGUGAAACCGAGAGUUCCCCAAAUUAAUUACAGCUGGAAACUGUGAAUGAAAAACUGGGUAUAUACCGUUAAUGUAUAUGUGUCACAGUUGUUUUUUUUUUUUUAAGUUUAUUUGGUGUUGUGAUGAUGAGGGUUUUCAUGUUUUGUGCUGGCAUAUUUUGUUUUUUUCUUUUCGGGAUUGUGGUAAAGUAGCACAUCCUUUUGGAAAAUUAUUUUUUUGUAAAUAUAAAUUAUUAUUUUUAUAUUUAAUAUAAAGUUAAAGUGAUUUAUUUUCUUGAAAACAUUUGAAAACAGAUUCAAACAGAAAGAAUGAUGUUUUCUUGUACACUUUCUUGGUGUAUCCGUUAACUAAAGGAACACUGUUUAUUUUUUAUUUACCUUUUGACAAGUGGUUCUGACUGGGAAAUAAUAUAAGCAUGGCCAAACCAAAGCCGCAAACGUUGGAUUGUGUCAUUACUUAUCAUCACUGUAUAAUCUUUGCCAGUUACGUUGUUUUAGAGACGACCAAGAUGCCAAAGCUGCUGCAUUUUUUGGCGCCUGCUUCUUGUUCUUUGCGGGUUCUCCAUGAAACAAAAUAUCAGCAAGUUCAAGUUCAAAUUCAACAAUUCCUGUGAAGACAGGUUCGUGUCCCAUUCAUGAUCUGAAAGUUCAGUAAUGUGGUAAUGGGGGCAACAAAUCUUUGUGCAAUCUCUUAUAACCAAACCAAACAUAACCAUAUAUGCCGCUUACAGAUCCGCGAGGAUAAAAUGGACGCGGACCAUGUCCCUUAUCUCUCAAAGAGCAGGGAGGCUAUUUUCUUGGAAACUCCCGCCCUAUUCCAAGAUCAAAAAUUAUGUGCAAUCUUAUGACAAAAAAAAUAAAAUUAUGUGCAAUCUUAUGACAAAAUAAAUAAAUAAAUUAUGUGCAAUAUCCGGUGAAAGAUUCGUGUAAAUUACUGAAAAAUAUAGAUAGAAAAAUUAUUUAAUAAAUUUAAAAGUAGUGUUUUACCGGUAACACUUGAGUUGCUAGAAAGUCCUCCAUAUUUUUUAUAAAAAAAAACUGUUUUCUAAUUUUAUUAUCACCAAAUCAUCAAAAAUAUUUUUAUAUUAGAACUCAAGAUAUAUAUUAAUAUCAAAAAAAAUUAUAAAAUGAUUAUCUUAUUUCUACUCUUAACACUUGUUUUAUUAUUUAUGUUUUGAUACUGGUCAUCAAAAGUUGGUUUUAUAUUUAUGAUCAUAAAUAUAUAACUAUCUUUUUUUUUUUUUGCCGAGAAUAUAUAACUAUCUUUAAAUUAACUAGAAAUAAAAUACAAAGAUUCACUUUAAAUGAAAAUGGAGUGGGACAAAAUGUUGGCUAAAAUUGAAUUCAUUAGGUUGUAAAGUAGAACUAGCAUCAGAGUGCAAGCCCUAUUUUAACAACAAAAAUACUUUUUUGGUGCUACGGAAUAGCAAAGACUAUAGCCAUUUUACGUUUAGCUUAAACUUACUUUAACAAACAAGAUGUCUCCCAAUAACCAAGCCAAUAGCUUCCAUAUCUACCAAAUUUAAACAAGACUUUUACAGGCAAAUGCUUAAAACUUACAGAGCAGACUGUAUACUAGAACCUCUAUAAUAGUACAGCACCAAGACAGUAAAGAACCAGAAUCAAACUCUAUCACUUCCUAUAACUAGUUGAUCCAAUUACAGAAAAGAACUAUAAUUUGUACAAGCUAUUGCACCAGUAUACUUAAAUGGCAGAACCCUUUUGUUAUAAAACUUUCGGCACCAAGAUGGGGCAACCCAAUGUAGCGAGAAAGAAGUGCCCCUCUUUCUCUGUGGGGUUUAAUCACCAGCCACAACUAAUCCAUCUACUCCAAUAUUGUAGCCUCUGGUUCAACUCUCCAGUAGUUUGCAUCAUUGAACUCAUCCAACCCAGCAUCUUUCUCAUCUGAAGUUUCCUUCUCCGCCAGCUUUGGGCCAAUGUUCCUUUUCAAUGGCCCAGCUUCGCCAACAAUGCCCUCUUUGAGAGCCUGAUCCAUUGCUUUCUCUGUACCUUCCAAUUCAACCCCUACAUAUUCCACAUCUUCUCCAGAGAGAGAAGGCGCCCUAUGGCUCAAAUGCCCUACUGAUCCUUCACCAAAAUUUGAGAUGCCAUUUGCUAGAGAUCCUCCGCCAGAUGUGGAACUGACAGGUGUAGGAACUACACCAACUGGAUUAGAACUCUCAACACUCGAUUUCGUAUCAUCUUCAAAAGGGUUUACACUUGAUCCACUAACUGGGAAAUCAGAGGACUCCCCCCAUCCCACCCAUUCAGGUAUAGGCCUAUCUCCAAAUAGAUCAUCAUUUCCUGAUGUGUCAAAGAAGCUCGGAUCACCAAAAGAACUAGGCUUCUCCUCCCUGGAAUCCACAUCUGCAGGAUUUGUUGAAGUAAUAUCAUUGAUAUUAUUCUUUACAUUGUCCAGAUUAGUUGUAGUAUCAGCAGCACAUAUGCUUUCAGCCAAUUCUUCAUCUUCUCCAACCACCACCUCAUCAUCACUACUGCUGUCACCAUUAUUUGCUGCUCCAUUCAAGUCAAUGUCAUCCAAAAUCUCAUUUUGUGAGGUGCUCAAAGAUGCAUCACCUAUUCUAUCAUCUUGAAAAGCAAACCAGUUGGAAUUUGUAAACAAACUGCAGAGCAUGGAGGUAAAAUGUUAUGUCAAUAUACCAGAUAACUUACUACAGACUCCCAAUACAGUUCUAUAAUUGAACCUGUCAUUACUUUAAAAAUAUACCUUCCUUGAUCAUCGCCCAGUCUAAGGGAUGAUAUUACAACCUCACCAGAAUCAUCAUCGAAGUAAGUAUCCGACUUGAUUAAAAAAAAAAAAACAUUAGAAUAAUCAACAAAAUUCCAGUUUUUGCAUCAAUUGUUCAAACCUCGUAAUUAACAUUGUGUGAGAAACACGCAAUUUCUCCUAUCUACAGGAUGUAAAUGAGCACAAGAAAGCCAUAAAAUAUAACAUACCUCGUCAUUGCGAUCAAGAGUUCCAUUGCCCUGCAAAUCAAAUCGGUAAAUAAAUGUAUAACUUUAUUAUCUACAUACAAGGUUAAUAUAGACACACACGCACUCACACACAGGAUCUUUAUCCUGGUCCAGGAAAAACAUUUGUCCCUAGACCAUUUUAGGAUGCUUAUCUCCCAACCAUCUGAUUAGGCAAUAAAUCGCCAGGAUCUGUAAAUAUAUUAAACAUUCCGGCUGAAGGAGAUAUCUUUUGUGCAUGGAUGAAAAAAAUCCUAACCACACCUAAUGACCAUAAACCCAAGAGUUAUUGUAAGGCAUGGAUAGAACAUUCACUUCCGCAUCUAUUAAGUGCCAAUAAUUAUUUUUCUUCUGUGACUAACAGGCGUGAAAAAUCUGAUUGCAUAUCCGAGGUUUAAGUACUGCCCAGUGCCCACAAAUGGUUUAUGGCAAAAAAAAAUCCUGGACCAGCUUUGUAUAUAUAUAACAUAUAGAGGGAGUAGAAGGGGAGAAAAAAUCUAUCAACAUACAUUUUCAGCAUCGUCAUUAUCGUACAAGCCAUAUCUGAAUGCCUGGUUUAAAUUAUUUGCCAGAGCUGCUACAUCAUAGUCCCUGUCAUUAACAUCUUCGUCAUCACUGUCCCUUAUCCUAUCAUGCAGUGCAGUAGGCCGAC